GUUGUUUUCUCGAAAAUCAAUUAAAAAAGAUUGGAUUUUGUGUUGUAUUGACUUCAUCAGCUUUCUGCACUCUUUUCUUGUCUUUUUUAAUGCACUUUUCGUUUAACAAGUCAACAUCAAUUUCUUUUGUUGUAAAAGGGUCAUUGGAAGGUGGCUUUCUUUUCGGAGAAAGUGUUUAUAGCCUUUGGCCUCUGCAAUCGGAGAGAUUGAGGUCUGCAGCGUAGAUCCUUCGGGGUUAGAUACAUUUGUGCUAAGUUAUAGCCUUUCAUAGACAACUUGUUGACUAUGAUCAGUCAUGUAGCUUACUCGCUUAUGCUAUUUUACCUAC
rnacentral:rRNA from 1 species